rnacentral:tRNA from 5 species
GCCGACGUAGCUCAGGUGGCUAGAGCAUCGCACUCAUAAAGCGAAGGUCCCUGGUUCGAGUCCAGGCGUCGGCA